GAUGAACGCUGGCGGCAUGCCUUACACAUGCAAGUCGAACGGUAACAGGUCUUCGGAUGCUGACGAGUGGCGAACGGGUGAGUAAUACAUCGGAACGUGCCCGAGAGUGGGGGAUAACGAGGCGAAAGCUUUGCUAAUACCGCAUACGAUCUCAGGAUGAAAGCAGGGGACCGCAAGGCCUUGCGCUCACGGAGCGGCCGAUGGCAGAUUAGGUAGUUGGUGGGAUAAAAGCUUACCAAGCCGACGAUCUGUAGCUGGUCUGAGAGGACGACCAGCCACACUGGGACUGAGACACGGCCCAGACUCCUACGGGAGGCAGCAGUGGGGAAUUUUGGACAAUGGGCGCAAGCCUGAUCCAGCCAUACCGCGUGCAGGAUGAAGGCCUUCGGGUUGUAAACUGCUUUUGUACGGAACGAAAAGACUCUGGUUAAUACCUGGGGUCCAUGACGGUACCGUAAGAAUAAGCACCGGCUAACUACGUGCCAGCAGCCGCGGUAACAC
rnacentral:rRNA from 1 species